GGGGGUGUAGCUUAGUCCGGUUAAAAGCGUCGGUUUGUCGAACCGAAGAUCGUGGGUUCAAAUCCCAUCACCCUCG
rnacentral:tRNA from 1 species